CACCCGGCGGCAGGGAAGCGGGGGGGGCUGCUCGCCGAGGCCACCGGGGAGGAGCCCGCCGGGACCGGUGCGACCCAGCAGCACGGCGGAGCCGGGACGUGCCUGAAGCGCCGGGAGGAAAGACCAGCCGGGGAUAAACGCCGCGGGGGCAGCGGGCGGGAAGGAGCCCCCCGGCGCUGAGAAGUGAAAAAUUGUUGACUAUCCAGUGGUAAAAUAGAAAGCUUGAAAAACCCCACAGAAGAAGGAAAAGAUCGUCUAUCAGCAACACCCACACAUAUGUGUGUCAUUGCUCUGCCCUUCUGCUACACUGACGUGCUUGGUGGAAACGUUGCAGUUCCCUGGCUGGACAAACUGUGUCACGCCUGUCAGCGACAGAAGUUCUGUACAGUGCUGCUUUCUCGCUGCAGGAGGCAACGUGUGCAGCCAAGCAGUUUUAGCCGUGUAACUGCCACAUCAGCAGGACAGGGGAGAAGGAUGCCUGACAACUAGAAGAAGACAAGGAGGCCAGGAGGAGAGAGGAUGUAAGAGGACUUGAGAGAAAAAGUAUAGAAGUACCGGCUAAGGUAAUUUCACUUAUCAAAUUGUAUUUAGGUAGCUCCCCUGUAUUAAAAAAACAAAACAAAAAACAAACAGACCUAAUACACAAGGUACCCUCUUCUUUUCUCUGCUGUACAAGUUAAUUCUGGGGGAAACCACUGAAGUAAGUAUUUUCUGAUUUCACUGUGGUCUGACUUAGGUGCCAACUGUUCACUUUCAAGGAGGAUUUACCAUAAAAUUCCAUGAUAAUAGCAAGCUUAAGCUCUCUAAAUAAAACAGAUUUUUAAUGGACUUCUGAGACCUGAUGUAAAAAGGAUGGGUGGAUCCCAGGAGAAACAAAAUGCUUGCAUGUAUAAGAGAUAUCUGCCAGAAAUACAUGGAUGACCAGUUACUACAGCAGCAGCAGAAUGUGCCUGCUAUGGCUACUACUUCUAAAACAAAACAAAAGGAAACAGCAGAAAUAAAAAACCAGUCACUGGCAAGAAUAUCUCCUUGCUGUAAAUUGGAUAGGUUUUAAAAAAUUGACAGCACUGUUCCUUCUGUUCUGAACAGGAGAUCUCCAGGUCCAGAACAACUCAUCAUAAAGAUACUUCCUUAAUUAGAGUAGAAGUCACAUAUUUUGGGUCCACAUGAAGGUAAUAAGUGGUAGCAGUUAUAUGAAAUUAGAGGCAGGUGUGGUUACUAACAAAAGCAGAAGUAAAAACAAGUAACAUGCCAGGUGCUGAAGAAACUCCCAGAUAGGAAGUUUUGCGUACACUGUGAGCCCAAAUCUAAUCUGAUCUGAAGCUGAAAUUUGACUGCUAGUCCAAACCAUAUAUGUUUUUGCAUUUUGAAUGCAGGGAGAUUGUAAGUAUAUGCUUACUUCUGAGAGUAGUCCUCCAGAGAUUUGCUUUGUUUCCUUAUAGAAUAUGAAGGUAAGUCAGCAUAUUGCCCAUAAAGUGUUUUUUUUUUUUUUUUUUUUUUAACAACUACUGACAUCAUAAUUUGGCAAAUUGAUCUUAAAAAGAUUAAGUAGCUAUGCUGUGGUAAAAUAAAACAUCCAUUUCCCCUAAAAAAAUAUUUCCUGAUGCAUAUGCAACAAGUGUUACUAAUGAAGGAGAAAAUAAAUCAUUUAAAUCCCCGGGACUUAAUGUUGAAGUACUUUUCUUUUUCAGUAAGUAGCUAAAAAAGCAGAAGAGCACACAGACAAGGAAUCAUUUUACUGAAAAGAACUAGUUUUAAUUCCAGUAAUUUAGGGAAUCGAGUGAAUACCUCCUGAAAUAAGUAUUCUACAGUCAUUUUAGAUCAUUGGUUUGUGGUUUUUAUUGCCAAGUAAUAGUAAAAUUGAGCAAAUAAGUAUAUUUCUAGUACUUCAGCCUCAGAAUGUCUCCCACAGGAAGCAACAUGAAAAUAAUUUGGCUAGUAGUUCCUUUAUUUGUUGAUCCUCAGCUUCUUUGCAGGUCACGUUAAAUAAAGAGGCAAUAGCAAAAGGCAGUGUUUUUCAUGAAUUACUCAAGUCAAAUGAGCCAGAUGUGGCAGAACUAAGAAAUAGCAGGGCCUGAUACACUCUUUUGUUAAUUCCACUAAUUCUAGCUUAAUACUGGAGUAACACUGGUAAAAAGCGACCCAUAUUUUAAUUUAAAACCUCUAAUAUUCAUCUAUUAUUUAUAAGAAUAUAUAACAAAUAAUUGUGGCAAACAUUGCAUAAUAAACAUGAAAGGGAGAUUAACCUUGUGAAUUUUUAAGCUGAAGAAUAAAGACCAUUACAUUAAUAAGACUUAAUUAUAUCAUAAAAUAUUUAAAAUUAUGUCCUCUAAUAAAUGUUGUUUUUAUUUAACAUAUUUCUUUUUUUAAUCUAUUACUUUAGUAAAAUGCCUUUAAGAUGGAAACAAAAGGCAGCAGAGCUUUCUUUGUUGAUAUCUAUGCAAUUAUAGAAGAAGGGAGCCACAUGUCUUCAAGUCAAGGUCAGAUUUCAGGACAGAACAGCCUAUACUUCCGCAAGGCUCAACUCCUGGCCUAGAUGGGCUGGUGGGGGGCUGCAUCUUCAACCUUCCCUCUUCCCUCCAAUAAUGCCUCAAUUUUAUAAGACUGGCUUGGCUCUAUCCACAAUAAUGACUUAAAUAAUACAUGUAAAGCUCACCAGUUAAGUUUCUAGUCUCCACUUACCAUGUAACACUACAAAAAAAAGGUAUAGAGGAUAGCAUUCAAACACCAGCUUCUAUUCUGCAUGGGUAAGUUCACCCUUACUAUUGCAGACAAAUAGCAGGUGUAAAAGCAACAGUAGGAAAUGAUAAGGAAACCUUCAGUGAAGUUAGCAUCUUGAAAGAUACAGCAAGGGUCAUUCUGUUUGCAAAAACUGGAAGACACGGGCUUUGCAAGGAAUACAGCUGACUCCAAUAUCCUUGUGUCCAUGUCACAAGUCCUUUUCUUUACAAUAGUUCAUCUCAGCUUAUUUCCUCAAGAAAUUACUAUUGUUCUUCAAAAGACAAAACCUAAGAAGUUGCAGUGAAAAUCAAACCAAACACCAGGCAAUUAUUCAACUCACACCAGACAAGCCAAAUGUCCUGGAAGAAUUUUUUUUUUUCUCCAGCACAACUCCAUAACUUUUGAUGUCUUCCUAUAAUUAUAACAUUUCGAUACAGCAUUUCUCUCUUGAGCCCACUGUUCUUUGUGUCUUGUCUAUACUGCAUAUCCAGGUAGCCUGCAUGCCUCAGCUUUCAACUGAAAAAACUAUGCUCUAUAUAUAUUUGCAGAAACACUGAUUAAAAUCAACUGCAAACACUAACAAAUCAAAUCUACCUCAUCAACAUUACAGAUUUAUCACAGUAAGGCUACAAUGUAAUGGUCUUUUAGUGGAAAUUCUCUUCAUUUACAAUCGCACAAAUACGAGGCCCUAUCCAUGAAGCUGUUUUGCUUUUUUCCAGCUAAGUCAUUCUUUUCUGUUUACUAGAGUAGUGCUGUUUCUGAUUUCAUCCCUACAAAUUCUGUUUAUUUUUGUAAUAUUCUUUUGACUUGUCUUCUGUAGAUUAUGUGUUUUGUUGCUACAAUUGUCUUCCCACUAUCCCUCACCAUUUCCCACUCACACAUCUGUCAUCAUCCAUACUGUAAUUACAGAAAUGUUAUUUGCUGGUAGACAGAUGCAUAGGGUUGCUCACAGGAGUACUGCCAUUAUUCAGUGCAAAUAGUAUACAGAAUAUUAAAGAAUCAUAGGAAUCAAGUUUUACUAAAAGAGUAUUCUGCAAGUUACCAAAACAAACACUGAACUAAGUGUGGUUCUUGUUUACACAUUGGACAACUGUCAUCUAAAACUAGGUAACAUUUAUUUCAAUCUGGCAGCUCCAAGUGCACUGGAGAUACAAAGUCUUUUAAUUAACAUGCAUGGUACUGCAAAUAUACACAGGUGUAGACAUCUUUCAGUAGGUAUAGCUGCCAGUCACAUCACAUUGCUACAGUUGUUUGUUUUUUUUUUUUCCUUUCAAUGAACAAGUGAAAAACGGGGUUAAAAAGCAAACAAGCACUGAGCCUUCACUUCAGUAUCUUCCUGAAAAUAAGGCAUGACAUUACUUGGAAUAGCUAUAAAAAUGAGUAGUUUGUCUUUUUUGAGCAGCAUCAUAUUAUACUGCUUUAUUUAACUAAGAGUCAAGAAGCAGCACACAUAAUAAGUAGGCUUCCAUUAGAGAUACUUUUUUUUUUUUUUAAGAGUUAUUUAGCUUUGCUUUGAAGUUUUCAUAAAUAAGGCACCUGUUUCCAACUGUCUAAAGAAUCAACAAGUUACAUAGUACUUAAUAUUAAAAAUGUUCAUCUGUAGAACAAAUAAGGAAUACAGCAUCUAUGAUAGGUAAAAUGGAUCACUGCUGAAAUACAAGGAAUAGAAGUCUUCCUUAACAUACAUACAAACCAACAUAGUUAAGCCAACAUUGAAAAACCCCUGGCAAGUGUUUAUCAUCAUGCCACUAAAAUUUCACCUUGGAAUGUGUUUCAGCUAUACACAACAGCAUGUAAAAGGCUCCACAUCUAGCCUCUACAUUGGUUAAGCUGGAAAAGAAAGAGUGAAGAUAGUGCCAGUACAGAAAAGAAUGAUGGAAACAUUGCAUCGAAGAUGCUUUCCCAUGGUGAUUCUGCCUUUCCCUUUGACUUCAGCUAAAGCAGAAGAUUCUGAGCAGCAUGCCCCACGCUUUUUCCCCUCCCAAACACUAGCCUUGCAACUGCCAUAACACAAAAGCACAUAUAGGGGCAUGAGUACACAAAUGCACAUAUAGACUGCUCAUACUGUAGAGGCUUACAAGUGCUCAGUAUAUUGUAAGAUCACUUCUGAAAAGCCAGCAUCUGCUGUCAUUGAAUAAGAUAGGAUUUACCACUUGCUUUUUAUAGUUCAGCCCAGACAUGUUUAGAUGAGUGUAUGGUUUUCACAUAAAGCUUUCUGUUAAAGUGCCUUCAGACAGACUUUUAGUCUCCACACAACAGUUCACUGCACACCCUCACUGAGUUGUCUCAUAUAUAAUUUAAAUGUUUAAUGCAAAGUAAAGCUAAUGUUAACAAUACAUAUUUUUGAAGACUGACAGUAUAAUGCUUUGUUUCCUAAAGGAAUAACUAGAGUGAUCCAUAAGCAAAUAUAAACUCAAGUAACACUGAACAGAUAUAAAUUGUGCUCAUCCUUGAGAAACCUUAGAGAGCAUGAUUCUCAUCCUCCUUCUUAGCUAGGCAAAGUGCGAUUUACUGUGGUUUUCUUUCAGAUGAGGUAUUAAAAGCUGCAGUGCACUCCCUAAUGUAUUAGUAUGAAUGAUACUUUUGGAACUGUGAUGUCUGAUAAACACUGCGUGCUGCUGACUGAUGGCUCUUUCUAGCCUAGAAUGAUACUUCGACUUAGUAGGUUUGUGUGAGCUCAGAGCAAAAGCUAAGAAUAUUUAGAAGCUGAGGAUUUAAAAUUAGUAUAAAUAUAAUAUCAUUCAAAUUAAUAGGAAUAUCCUCUCAAGCCAUCCUGAAUGUUCCUUUAGGGUUUUCCCUUGCAGGAAAUUACUGGAUAUUAUCCUAGCACGGUUCUGGACAUUCUUUACAGCUAAUCAUUCUCCAAGCCCAUGGAUGACAAUCCCCAUAAGCAGGAUCAGAGACAGCAGAGUCAUCCUCCUUGUGAACAUGCACAUUCUCUUGUGUCCUUGCUGCAAGGGCCCCAGAUUCUUUUAUAAACCACUCAGAAGCAGCAGUUCUGCUAACUGUAUGAUUAAUACCUGCUCAAUAAGAAGGUGGUAUCUUCCACAUACAAUAAAUGUAGAUGAUUGUGACAACAACGCUGAGGAAAUGAUUUAGAAAUGGGUAAAAAGAUAAACUCAGAAGAUUAAUCUUUGGCAGUUUUUCUUAAGCUGUGUUAUUGUCUACUGUGUAUAGUAAAUACACAUUAAAUAAAAGAGAAC
ensembl:lncRNA